rnacentral:rRNA from 1 species
CAAUAGCGUAUAUUAAAGUUGUUGCAGUUAAAAAGCUCGUAGUUGAAUUUCUGUACAUUCUCAGUUCUGGCUUCGGUCAAGCUGUGGAGUGUGCAUCCGCUUGCAAACCUAGCCCGGCCUUUACUGGUCGACUAGGGGAGUAAGCCCUUUACUUUGAAAAAAUUAGAGUGUUUCAGGCAGGCAAUUGCUCGAAUACAUUAGCAUGGAAUAAUGGAAUAGGACUUUUGUCCAUUUGGUUGGUUAUUGGACAUUAGUAAUGAUUAAAAGGGACAGUUGGGGGCAUUAGUAUUUAAUUGUCAGAGGUAAAAUUCUUGGAUCAAUUAAAGACUAACUUAUGCGAAAGCAUUUGCCAAGGAUGUUUUCAUUAA